rnacentral:rRNA from 1 species
CCUACGGGGGGCAGCAGUGAGGAAUAUUGGUCAAUGGCCGGAAGGCUGAACCAGCCAUGCCGCGUGCAGGUCAGUGCCCUAUGGGCGUUAAACUUCUUUUGUGCGGGAGCAAUAAUGGUCACGUGUGGCCAGACGAGAGUACCGUACGAAUAAGCAUCGGCUAACUCCGUGCCAGCAGCCGCUGUAAUACGGGGGAUGCAAGCGUUAUCCGGGGUUAUUGGGUUUAAAGGGUGGCUAGGCUGUGAGGUAAGGCAGCGGGGGAAAGCCCCCGGUCAACGGGGUGAAGUGCCAUUGAUACUGGUUGGCUGGAAUGCGGAUGCGGUGGGAGGAAUGUGUGGUGUAGCGGUGAAAUGCAUAGAGAUCACACAGAACACCGAUUGCGAAGGCAUCUAACGAAUCCGCGAUUGACGCUGAUGCACGAAAGCGUGGGUAUCAAACAGGAUUAGAUACCCCAGUAGUC